AUGACUCGCGGCCUAUCAGCUUGUUGGCGGGGUAACGGCCCACCAAGGCGACGACGGGUAGCCGGCUUAGAGGGCGACCGGCCACACUGGAACUGAGACACGGUCCAGACUCCUACGGGAGGCAGCAGUGGGGAAUAUUGCACAAUGGGCGCAAGCCUGAUGCAGCAACGCCGCGUGGGGGAUGAAGGCCUUCGGGUUGUAAACCCCUUUCAGCAGGGAAGAAGCGAAAGUGACGGUACCUGCAGAAGAAGCGCCGGCUAAAUACGUGCCAGCAGCCGCGGUAAUACGUAGGGCGCAAGCGUUGUCCGGAAUUAUUGGGCGUAAAGAGCUCGUAGGCGGUUCGUCGCGUCUGCUGUGAAAACCCGAGGCUCAACCUCGGGCCUGCAGUGGGUACGGGCGGAAUAGAGUGUGGUAGGGGAGAUCGGAAUUCCUGGUGUAGCGGUAAAAUGCGCAGAUAUCAGGAGGAACACCAAUGGCGAAGGCAGAUCUCUAGGCCACAACUGACGCUGAGGAGCGAAAGCGUGGGGAGCGAACAGGAUUAGAUACCCUGGUAGUCCACGCCGUAAACGGUGGGCACUAGAUGUGGGGACCAUUCCAUGGUUUCCGCGUCGCAGCUAACGCAUUAAGUGCCCCGCCUGGGGAGUACGGCCGCAAGGUUAAAACUCAAAGGAAUUGACGGGGCCCCGCACAAGCGGCGGAGCAUGCGGAUUAAUUUGAUGCAACGCGAAGAACCUUACCAAGGCUUGACAUAUACCGUUUAUCCCUAGAGAUAGGGAGUCCUUCGGGGCGGUAUACAGGUGGUGCAUGGUUGUCGUCAGCUCGUGUCGUGAGAUGUUGGGUUUAGUCCCGCAACGAGCGCAACCCUCGUCCUAUGUUGCCAGCACAUUAUGGUGGGAACUCAUAGGAGACUGCCGGGGUCAACUCGGAGGAAGGUGGGGAUGACGUCAAAUCAUCAUGCCCCUUAUGUCUUGGGCUUCACGCAUGAUACAAUGGCCGGUACAGAGGGCUGCGAAAUCGCAAGAUGGAGCGAAUCCCAAAAAGCCGGUCUCAGUUCGGAUUGAGGUCUGCAACUCGACUUCAUAAGUGGAGUCGCAUAGUAUGCAGAUCAGCAACGUGCGGUAAUAGUCCGGG
rnacentral:rRNA from 1 species